rnacentral:rRNA from 1 species
GAUGAACGCUGGCGGCGUGCCUAAUACAUGCAAGUCGAGCGAACGGACGAGAAGCUUGCUUCUCUGAUGUUAGCGGCGGACGGGUGAGUAACACGUGGAUAACCUACCUAUAAGACUGGGAUAACUUCGGGAAACCGUAGCUAAUACCGGAUAAUAUUUUGAACCGCAUGGUUCAAAAGUGAAAGACGGUCUUGCUGUCACUUAUAGAUGGAUCCGGGCUGCAUUAUCUAGUUGGUAAGGUAACGGCUUACCAAGGCAACGAUGCAUAGCCGAACUGAGAGGGUGAUCGGCCACACUGGAACUGAGACACGGUCCAGACUCCUACGGGAGGCAGCAGUAGGGAAUCUUCCGCAAUGGGCGAAAGCCUGACGGAGCAACGCCGCGUGAGUGAUGAAGGUCUUCGGAUCGUAAAACUCUGUUAUUAGGGAAGAACAGAUGUGUAAGUAACUGUGCACAUCUUGACGGUACCUAAUCAGAAAGCCACGGCUAACUACGUG